rnacentral:rRNA from 1 species
AUGAAAAGACAAAUUAGUUACGUUUUCGCCCGCACGUCCUCGAUCACCUAUCUGGUGGUUUCCACUACAAAUGGCAUAGUCUACCAGCUCGUGGAAAGUCCGGAGGAAUCCUUCUUGGGAUACAGACCACGGCAAUGGACUUAUUGGCCUUUUCGACCCGUGAAUUUCAUAUCAAAUUUUACCUAUGAAACAGGGCUGAUAAUUUUACAUGGAGCCUAUGGGGCUGCCCAAGAUGAGCAUAAAUCCGCUUUCCUUCGUGAACUGGUGAAUCUGGCUAAGGAUAACCCGUACCCAAUGCUUAUUGGAGGGGAUUUCAAUAUCCUUAGGUACCAAGAAGAAAAAAAUAAUGACCGCUUCGACACUCACUGGCCUUUCCUAUUCAAUGUUGUCAUUGAUAGUUUGGACCUUCGGGAAGCUUGUAUGUCGGGGCGGCAGUUCACUUGGGCUAAUAACCGUUCUGUGCCAACGUACGAGAAGCUCGAUAGCGUACUCAUGGAUACCGAAUGGGAGCUAAAAUUUCAUAUGGUAACCGUAUGA